CUACAAUUACUGAGGUUUAAAUAUAUAGAGUACUGUACACACUACAAUUACUGAGGUUUAAAUAUAUAGAGUACUGUACACACUACAAUUACUGAGGUUUAAAUAUAUAGAGUACUACACACACUACAAUUACUGAGGUUUAAAUAUAUAGAGUACUGUACACACUACAAUUACUGAGGUUUAAAUAUAUAGAGUACUGUACACACUACAAUUACUGAGGUUUAAAUAUAUAGAGUACUGUACACACUACAAUUACUGAGGUUUAAAUAUAUAGAGUACUGUACACACUACAAUUACUGAGGUUUAAAUAUAUAGAGUACUAUACACACUACAAUUACUGAGGUUUAAAUAUAUAGAGUACUAUACACACUACAAUUACUGAGGUUUAAAUAUAUAGAGUACUGUACACACUACAAUUACUGAGGUUUAAAUAUAUAGAGUACUGUACACACUACAAUUACUGAGGUUUAAAUAUAUAGAGUACUGUACACUACAAUUACUGAGGUUUAAAUAUAUAGAGUACUAUACACACUACAAUUACUGAGGUUUAAAUAUAUAGAGUACUGUACACACUACAAUUACUGAGGUUUAAAUAUAUAGAGUACUGUACACACUACAAUUACUGAGGUUUAAAUAUAUAGAGUACUGUACACACUACAAUUACUGAGGUUUAAAUAUAUAGAGUACUGUACACACUACAAUUACUGAGGUUUAAAUAUAUAGAGUACUGUACACACUACAAUUACUGAGGUUUAAAUAUAUAGAGUACUGUACACACUACAAUUACCGAGGUUUAAAUAUAUAGAGUACUGUACACACUAUAAUUACUGAGGUUUAAAUAUAUAGAGUACUGUACACGCUAUAAUUACUGAGGUUUAAAUAUAUAGAG